UUUUUUUGAAUGAUUUGCUUGAUAAUUAGGUCUUUGAGAUUUUGGGCACAAAAAACUUUGUAAAAAAGUUGCAGUAAUAUUUGGUAGGUAAUAAAAAAGGUGUUUUCUUUGCACCACUGUUUCGAAAAAAUGACCACUAAACAGGUCAAAAAAGUAGGGCAGAGAAGUUCAUUGACAUGAUGCAAAUAAAUAAUAAUGAAGCACGCUUAGUUCUUGUUUUUUUGUAAUUAAAGAAUCAAGGGAUUAAGCAGCCAAAAGUCGAUAAAUAAGAAAUAUACAAUAAAAGAUUGAGUGUUGUCGAGUCUAAGGAAUGAUUAUUUGUUGGUAUAAAGAACAAGAUUAAAAUUUAUAUACAACGAAGAGUUUGAUCCUGGCUCAGGAUGAACGCUAGCGACAGGCCUAACACAUGCAAGCCGAGGGGUAACGAUUAAGUAGCUUGCUACUUAAGGCGACGACCGGCGCACGGGUGAGUAGCGCGUAUGCAACCUACCCUUUACAGGAGGAUAGCCCGAAGAAAUUCGGAUUAAUACUCCAUGGUAUUAUUUAGACACCUGUUUAAAUAAUUAAAAGAUUCGUCUGGUAAAGGAUGGGCAUGCGUAUGAUUAGAUAGUUGGUGAGGUAACGGCUCACCAAGUCCACGAUCAUUAGGGGUUCUGAGAGGAUAGUCCCCCACACUGGUACUGAGACACGGACCAGACUCCUACGGGAGGCAGCAGUGAGGAAUAUUGGUCAAUGGGUGAGAGCCUGAACCAGCCAAGUCGCGUGCAGGAAGACUGCCCUAUGGGUUGUAAACUGCUUUUAUAUAGGAAUAACCGUCUCUUCGUGAAGGGAUUUGAAUGUACUAUAUGAAUAAGGACCGGCUAACUCCGUGCCAGCAGCCGCGGUAAUACGGAGGGUCCAAGCGUUAUCCGGAUUUAUUGGGUUUAAAGGGUGCGUAGGCGGGUAAAUAAGUCAGUGGUGAAAGUCUGUCGCUCAACGAUAGAAUUGCCAUUGAAACUGUUUAUCUUGAAUACAGUAGAGGUAGGCGGAAUAUAUUGUGUAGCGGUGAAAUGCAUAGAUACGAUAUAGAACACCUAUUGCGAAGGCAGCUUACUAUGCUGUUAUUGACGCUGAUGCACGAAAGCGUGGGGAGCGAACAGGAUUAGAUACCCUGGUAGUCCACGCCGUAAACGAUGAUCACUGGAUGUUGGCGAUAUACAGUCAGUGUCUGAGCGAAAGUAUUAAGUGAUCCACCUGGGGAGUACGUUGGCAACAAUGAAACUCAAAGGAAUUGACGGGGGCCCGCACAAGCGGAGGAACAUGUGGUUUAAUUCGAUGAUACGCGAGGAACCUUACCCGGGCUUAAAUGUAGAGUGCAUGACUCAGAGAUGGGUCUUUCUACGGACUCUCUACAAGGUGCUGCAUGGUUGUCGUCAGCUCGUGCCGUGAGGUGUCGGGUUAAGUCCCAUAACGAGCGCAACCCUUAUCGUUAGUUACCAUCAGGUUAAGCUGGGGACUCUAGCGAGACUGCCACCGUAAGGUGAGAGGAAGGUGGGGAUGACGUCAAAUCAGCACGGCCCUUACGUCCGGGGCUACACACGUGUUACAAUGGUAAGGACAAAGGGUAGCUACCUAGCAAUAGGAUGCGAAACUUGAAACCUUAUCUCAGUUCGGAUCGGAGUCUGCAACUCGACUCCGUGAAGUUGGAUUCGCUAGUAAUCGGAUAUCAGCAACGAUCCGGUGAAUACGUUCCCGGGCCUUGUACACACCGCCCGUCAAGCCAUGGAAGCUGGGGGUACCUGAAGUCUGUAACCGAGAGGAGCGGCCUAGGGUAAAACUGGUAACUGGGGCUAAGUCGUAACAAGGUAGCCGUACCGGAAGGUGUGGCUGGAACACCUCCUUUCU
rnacentral:rRNA from 1 species